rnacentral:rRNA from 1 species
AAUGCCACUCUCCGGGAACAAUAUCCGGCUUUACACAAUAUUGUGCGUCACAAGAGUGAUACUAUCGCCACGGUAAUGGAAUCAUUUCCGUCAAAUGUGACAUUCAAAAGGGAUUUAUUUGGACCCAGACUACAAACAUAGAACAUCCUGCUCCAGCGGUUGCCCACGGUGCAAUUGUCACAUGGGUCCGAUGUAUUCCGAUGGAACCUACAUGAGAAUGGACAAUUCUAG